UCCGUUAUGGUGUCGUGGCUAACAUUAUCGCCUCUCAUAAACGAUCGGGAUAGAAUGGAGCGCGAUAACCCAGGGUUCGAUUCCCUGUAACGGAA